rnacentral:rRNA from 1 species
UACGAAGGGGGCUAGCGUUGCUCGAAAUGACUGGGCGUAAAGGGCGCGUAGGCGGUUCAUACAGUCAGAUGUGAAAUUCCUGGGCUCAACCUGGGGGCUGCAUUUGAUACGUGUGGACUAGAGUGGGGAAGAGGGUCGUGGAAUUCCCAGUGUAGAGGUGAAAUUCGUAGAUAUUGGGAAGAACACCGGUGGCGAAGGCGGCGACCUGGUCCUUGACUGACGCUGAGGCGCGAAAGCGUGGGGAGCAAACAGG